CUUAUCCGGAGUGACUGAGGGAACAGGCCCUGUGACGUCCGACAACCUGCCGUAAAACGGUAAGGUGCCAAAUCCUGCGGUGUAACCGAAAGAUGAG
rnacentral:ncRNA from 1 species